rnacentral:rRNA from 1 species
CACCUGUUUAUCAAAAACAUAGCUUUUUGAUUAUAAUUUAAAGUUAUUUCUGCCCAAUGAGACUUUUAAAUGGCUGCAGUAUAUUGACUGUACAAAGGUAGCAUAAUCAAUUGUUUCUUAAUUAGAAACUGGAAUGAAGGAAAAAAUGAGACUUUAACUGUCUUAAUAUAAAAUUUAUAAAUUAUUUUUUGAGUAAAAAAACUUAAAUGAUAUUAUGGGACGAGAAGACCCUAUAGAAUUUUAUAUAAUUUAUAUUAUGAUAUUUUUAUAAGGAUUAGAUAAUAUAAGAUUAUAUUUUAUUGGGAGGAUAGUUAAAUUAUUAUAACUUUAAUUAGUAUGUAUAUCAUUUAUUAAUGAUUUAAGGAAUGAUUAGUAAUUAAUAAUUAAAAAAGAAUUAAUUACCUUAGGGAUAACAGCGUAAUAUUUUUAGAGAGAUCUUAUUAAUAAAAGUGAUUGCGACCUCGAUGUUGAAUUAAGAUAAAAAUUAGGUGUAGGAGCUUAAUAUUUAGGUCUGUUCGACCUUUGAAAUCUUACAUGAUUUGAGUUCAAAUCGACG